UUGAGGAAUUUGUCAAUAGGAUGAUUAGGAUCAGCACAUGUGUGCACAUGAUGUUGUGUAUUUAUGUACACUGACAGCAGGGAAUUCAUACAUGCGCCCAUUUCAUGAUUAGCCCACUCACAUAAGCUCAGUUACUCUGCGACAUUCUCCUCUGCAAGAACCAUAAACGGCACUCGCAACAGGAAAUUCAGACUCCGAGCGAAACGAAACGCAUUUUCUGAAAAGGUCACCUCGACAGCUGGACUUGCUGAGCUGUGCACCGUGGCAAACAUUCGCUUGGACCGGGUGUACUGGUUAAUGUUUUGGUUAUUCCAAGUGAGUUUCUUAAUGGAAUAACUAAUCACGGUUUCUUAAUCAAUUAAAAGUUAAUGUAGUAUAUUAAUGAUGAUCCAGUCAAUAGCGUCUUCAGUUUACCAAAGGGUUCGUCCAGGGCCAACCCAAAUGCCCCAGUCACGCGUUGAUAAUCUGCAUAUGCUCCAGUGCACCUUACCAACUAAUAUUAUGACUCUGAUGGCAUGCACAUGCUAAUCUAAAGGAUGGACUCAGAUGCCUUUCGGAGACAACAGCCGCUGACGUCGGUCUGCUUGCGAUUUCCCAAUUACCGUAUUCGAUGGCGUGCCGUUUUUUACACAUUUAGUUUGGGUUCGGCCAACUGACGUAUCUGCAUACCAGGAAAGCGGCAUUAAUGUUCAAAAAGGUCUUCCCUAGGCCUCCAUCGUGUUCGCAACGACUAAUAGGAUGAAGUGAUCCCUGCUUGUGCCGUGGUGAUCGGAUGUUCUGGGGAUGCUGUAUUGUGCUAUCAGUGCAAGCAAUGCUACGGUGCGUUUCGCGGUGGAUUUCGGAAUUGUCAUAGCUAUCUAGAUGUGUGCGCUUCGCGAAACGGCAACAGCACAUCCAAACCCAAGGAACGCUGUCAUUAAUACCAAUGUGGUGAAAACGGAAAACGACCUGGUCGGCGAUGAUUGUGAGAGCCCAAAAACACUGGAGGACACCUAUGUUUAAAACUCAUUUGGCACAUCGAUCGACGCUACGCUGGUUCUCUACCUUGUAUCGCUACUUACUUUAUUAAUUGUUCACUGACUAUUAUUACAAAAACAGGAUGAUCAAACGAUUUAUCGUAACCUAAACAAGCAGCUAAGAAAAGGUCAUUCAAAUACCGGCCGCGUAACCGGCUGAAACAGUGGUUUUGCUGUGAGGAAUAACUAUACCAAUCAG